ACGCUCGACACCUACGGGAGCAGCAGUGGGGAAUAUUGCACAAUGGGGGAAACCCUGAUGCAGCGACGCCGCGUGAGCGAAGAAGUAUCUCGGUAUGUAAAGCUCUAUCAGCAGGGAAGAAGAUGACGGUACCUGACUAAGAAGCACCGGCUAAAUACGUGCCAGCAGCCGCGGUAAUCUGAGGCGGGCUGGCAAGGC
rnacentral:rRNA from 1 species